UUGACAUACUCGUGCUAUUCCUAGAGAUAGGAAGUUCCUUCGGGACACGGGAUACAGGUGGUGCAUGGUUGUCGUCAGCUCGUGUCGUGAGAUGUUGGGUUAAGUCCCGNAACGAGCGCAACCCCUAUUGUUAGUUGCCAUCAUUAAGUUGGGCACUCUAACGAGACUGCCGGUGAUAAACCGGAGGAAGGUGGGGAUGACGUCAAAUCAUCAUGCCCCUUAUGACCUGGGCUACACACGUGCUACAAUGGAUGGUACAACGAGUCGCGAGACAGUGAUGUUUAGCUAAUCUCUUAAAACCAUUCUCAGUUCGGAUUGUAGGCUGCAACUCGCCUACAUGAAGUCGGAAUCGCUAGUAAUCGCGGAUCAGCACGCCGCGGUGAAUACGUUCCCGGGCCUUGUACACACCGCCCGUCACACCACGGGAGUUGGGAGUACCCGAAGCAGGUUGCCUAACCGCAAGGAGGGCGCUUCCUAAGGUAAGACCGAUGACUGGGGUGAAGUCGUAACAAGGUAGGCGUAGCGAG
rnacentral:rRNA from 1 species